GGGCGUUAAGUUGCAGGGUAUAGACCCGAAACCCGGUGAUCUAGCCAUGGGCAGGUUGAAGGUUGGGUAACACUAACUGGAGGACCGAACCGACUAAUGUUGAAAAAUUAGCGGAUGACCUGUGGCUGGGGGUGAAAGGCCAAUCAAACCGGGAGAUAGCUGGUUCUCCCCGAAAGCUAUUUAGGUAGCGCCUCGUGAAUUCAUCUCCGGGGGUAGAGCACUGUUUCGGCUAGGGGGCCAUCCCGGCUUACCAACCCGAUGCAAACUGCGAAUACCGGAGAAUGUUAUCACGGGAGACACACGGCGGGUGCUAACGUCCGUCGUGAAGAGGGAAACAACCCAGACCGCCAGCUAAGGUCCCAAAGUCAUGGUUAAGUGGGAAACGAUGUGGGAAGGCCCAGACAGCCAGGAUGUUGGCUUAGAAGC
rnacentral:rRNA from 1 species